ACUGUUUAAGGGGGUGCUGGGAGGAAGAGGAGGGAGAGGGGUGGCGGGUACCCCGAGGGGUUAGAAACUUAGAGCAGCUUUCGCGUGGGUGCCCUACCCCCACUCCGGCUCUUCGGCGCCCCGCCGGGCGCGCAGUUUUGGGGAUAAAUUCUGCCCAGGAGACGGCCAGCAGGAUGGGAGAGUUUGGACGUGCUUGGGCGCCUCUCAAAGAUUUGGCUUUUCCUGCUGGCAGUGCCCCGCCCCCACCCCAGGAACUCCGGACCUGGGCGGUCUUCGAGGGAAAGGGGGAGGGAGUAGGAGAAAGAAGUGGAGAAGAUUUGGCAGUGGCCGCAGGCGGACGCCUGAGAAUCGGCUUCUUGGAGGAUCCCGCCUUUCCUCUCUCCUAACCCGGCCGGCUGCCCCGAGUGUGCUGCUUUUUCCAGUCCUUCUAUCAAGAAUCAUCCAGAGCCACUGAUUUAGAGCACAGAUAUGAUUGUGCCACUCCGUUUAAAUUCCUCUAAUGGCACCUAUUAACCUCAGGAUGAAAUUUCGACUCCUUAGCAUGGUUUCUGAGGCCCUUUGUCAUCAGACUUUGUGUGUGUAUUCAGCUCACCUCGCCACACUGCGCACUUCUUACUCAAGGCUUCAGCCAUCCCGAGUGGUUUCCAUGGACUCUUCCACUCCUGUGGUGCAUAUCCAUCACCACCCACUUAUUCCUUUAUGGGAGAAGCCUAAGUCGCUGCCUCAUUGACCCUGGGCUUGGCCACAUGACAAGCUUGACUAAUGAAAUGUGAGUGGAUGAACAGAAGCUUUUAGAGACACUGCAAAUUGCCACCGGGACUCUUUCUUCUUUUGCCCUCAUCUCCCAGACAGGUGCUGCUCCAGCUUGUGUUACAGGAUGAAAAAGAAGAUGGAGUGGAGCCCCAACUUCAGGCAGAGUCACAGGUGGCCUGCAGCCUACAUUCAAUAUGAGUGAGAAAUAAUGUGCAUGGUUGUGAACCGCUGAGGUUUGGGGGUUGUUUGUCACCGCAGCAGAGUUAAGGGAUAUGUUUCCCUCCCUCAAAUCUCUGGAUGUGCUAUUCCCUCUCCCUGGAAACCUCUCCCUUAUUCCCAAACCCCUUCUUUUUCAGGACUCAGAUGAGAUGUUACUUUCUUUGGAAAACUGUCCUGACGCUCUUCCUCCCCCAGGUUGGGUCUGUGGCCCUGUGCCAGUCCCCAUGUCACCUUCCUAUUCUCAUCUCCCCUAUUACACCGUUUUAUGGUUACGAUAACCUCUUGAUUUUUGUACCCGGCUUCACCAUCAGUCUAUGAGCUUCUGGAAGGCAGGGACUGGAUCCUCUGGUUCAGCUAGCACAUGGUAAGUUCUUAAAAAGGAUUUGUUGACAAGGGAUGAAGUUAGUAGUCUCCCUUGGUGUGUGGCAGUUUUGAUUUUCUGAAGAUCCAUCCCAUAUACUCUUCUUUUAAUAUGUCUUCGAUAUUCUCCUUGUAGAGGUGUGUGUGUGUGUGUGUGUGUGUGUGUGUGUGUGUGUGUGUGAAGGAGAUGGUAGUCGAUGUUUCUUCCCCUUAAAUCUGGGCAGGCCUGUUAUACUGGCAGAGGUGACACAGUAUGACUUCUGAGGCAGGUCGGGAAAGGCAAUACAGCUUUCGCCUAGUUCUCUUGGGACACUAGCUCUUGGAACCAGUCACCAAGCUGUAAGGAAGCACUGUUGAAAGGCCCUUGUGGAAAAGAACUGAGCUCUCCCCACCCCUGCCCUGCCCCAGAUCUGGCUAAGCUCCAAGCAGCAACCGGCGCUCCUUUGCCAGCAUGUCAGUGCACCAUCUUGAAAGCGGACCUUCCAGCUCUAGUCAAAUUGCCCCAGCUGAUACACAAAGAGCAGAGAUGAGCCGUCCCUGCCCAGCCCUGUCCCUGUUGCAGAUUCUUGAGUAAAAUAAAUGAUCGCUGUUGUUUAAGC